rnacentral:snRNA from 1 species
CAGCCUGCCCACCCUGGAA